AGGGAUGUACUGGAGGGGGGGUCACCACAGUUUUGGACGAGAAACCAUUAGUCGUUCUUUUACUUCCGAGACGCUGACCGAGAAGGUUACUCUAGUCAUUAUUGCUGGGUACUUUCAUUCCUGAAAUUGUUCUUCAUAAAAAAAAGGUUGGUGGAGAUUGUUCUCAAUGUGGAAUGCCAAAUCAACAAGAUGAGAUAAGAUCCUAAGCUUCUGAUGAUUCCUCUACCAUGUUGUGAGAUGAAAAGGUGCACACUAGGCAAGCUGAAAUGGUUUCAUUGGUUAGAGAAAGUUUGAGCUGUUCGUGGUUGUGAUGUUUGGUGUGGCAGUCAUUUUCUGAUUGAGAGGUGCACUGAAAUGGAUCUUCUACAGACUUGCAGUUCAACAUCAUACUUCAAUUUACCAUGUUGGUGUCCAUGCAGAGUUGAGCUGUUGUGCAAAAUAAUAGGUGUUGUCUGAUGGCUUUCUGGCAAUUUGUUGGUGUAUUCUUCUGCUACCUGUAUCAAUGUUGAGUUCAAUCGAUCGGCGCCGUUCCGGACUUGAUCCAUUGGUGAAGUUAAGAAAAGGUUGCUGAACUUCAAGAGAUUGAUAAAUUAUUUAGUCUUAGAGAUUUUGCCAAUUCAUAUCUGUUCUCUCUUUCCCCAAGUAAACAAAAUUUCCUCUUAGGUAGUUAUGUGGAUGGGUAAUUGCAAUAAGAUUCUAUAUUUUCUGUGAGAAUGCUCAGUUAAAACCAUAAAAAUGUUGUGUACUGA
rnacentral:lncRNA from 1 species